CGGCGAACGGGUGAGUAACACGUGGAUGAUCUGCCCUGAGGUGGGGGAUAACCCGGGGAAACUCGGGCUAAUACCGCAUAGGACCGUGAGGUCAAAGGGGGUCGCAAGAUCUCUCGCCAUGGGAGGAGUCCGCGUCCGAUUAGCUAGUUGGUAGGGUAAUGGCCUACCAAGGCGACGAUCGGUAGCCGGCCUGAGAGGGUGAUCGGCCACACUGGAACUGAGACACGGUCCAG
rnacentral:rRNA from 1 species